rnacentral:lncRNA from 1 species
GCACAUACAACUUCUUCUAUGUUGAUUUGCCCUUGGUGCUAAUUUUCACCCAUUAUGUUCAUUCUUUUCAUCUUUUUUAUCUUCAUACUUCUCUCCAACUGGCUUAAAAAGAUUAUAGAAACUCUCCUUGUCAACCAUCAUGUCAUCCCAUAUGAAAGAGGGAAAUUUGUUAUGUUUAUGUUGAAAAUAAUUUUAAGGAUCUGUUGUGACAUAUUCCAAGAAACUCUGUCAAUUUAUAUCAGACUAUAUACAGGUAGCCCUCAGUUUACGCUGCAGAUCCGUUCCUACAAAAGCUGGCGCAAAUCGAAUCGGCGUAAAAUGAAC